rnacentral:rRNA from 1 species
UACAGAGACCCCAAGCGUUACCCGGAUUCAUUGGGCGUAAAGGGUUCGUAGGUGGUACAGUAAGUUGAAAGUUAAAGUUCAUCGGCUCAACCUUUGAAAUGCUUUCAAUACUGCUAUACUAGAGGGCGUUAGAGGCAAACGGAACCGACGGAGUAGGGGUGAAAUCCGUUGAUAUCGUCGGGAACACCAAAAGCGAAGGCAGUUUGCUGGGACGACCCUGACACUGAGGAACGAAAGCGUGGGGAGCAAAAAGG